rnacentral:tRNA from 1 species
AAGUAAGAAGCUAUAAAGCACCUAGUUUCGACCUAGCACAGUGAUAAAAUUAUCCUUACUUA